UGGGGAAUAUUGGGCAAUGGGCGAAAGCCUGACCCAGCGACGCCGCGUGAAGGAAGAAGGUCUUUGGAUUGUAAACUUCUGUUAUGGGGGACGAACACAUGACGGUACCCCAUGAGAAAGCCACGGCUAACUACGUGCCAGCAGCCGCGGUAAUACGUAGGUUGCAAGCGUUGUCCGGAUUUACUGGGUGUAAAGGGCGUGUAGGCGGAGAUGCAAGUUGGGAGUGAAAUCCCGGGGCUCAACCCCGGAACUGCUUUCAAAACUGUAUCCCUUGAGUAUCGGAGAGGCAAGCGGAAUUCCUAGUGUAGCGGUGAAAUGCGUAGAUAUUAGGAGGAACACCAGUGGCGAAGGCGGCUUGCUGGACGACAACUGACGCUGAGGCGCGAAAGCGUGGGGAGCAAACAGGAUUAGAUACCCUGGUAGU
rnacentral:rRNA from 1 species